rnacentral:rRNA from 1 species
UACGUAGGGUGCGAGCGUUGUCCGGAAUUAUUGGGCGUAAAGGGCUCGUAGGCGGUCUGUCACGUCGGGAGUGAAAACACGGGGCUUAACCCCGUGCCUGCUUCCGAUACGGGCAGACUAGAGGUAUGCAGGGGAGAACGGAAUUCCUGGUGUAGCGGUGAAAUGCGCAGAUAUCAGGAGGAACACCGGUGGCGAAGGCGGUUCUCUGGGCAGUACCUGACGCUGAGGAGCGAAAGUGUGGGGAGCGAACAGG